CCUACGGGUGGCAGCAGUGAGGAAUAUUGGUCAAUGGACGAGAGUCUGAACCAGCCAAGUAGCGUGAAGGAUGACUGCCCUAUGGGUUGUAAACUUCUUUUAUAUGGGAAUAAAAUGUUCCACGUGUGGGAUUUUGUAUGUACCAUAUGAAUAAGGAUCGGCUAACUCCGUGCCAGCAGCCGCGGUAAUACGGAGGAUCCGAGCGUUAUCCGGAUUUAUUGGGUUUAAAGGGAGCGUAGGUGGAUUGGUAAGUCAGUUGUGAAAGUUUGCGGCUCAACCGUAAAAUUGCAGUUGAAACUGGCAGUCUUGAGUACAGUAGAGGUGGGCGGAAUGCGGGGUGUAGCGGUGAAAGGCUUAGAUAUCACGAAGAACUCCGAUUGCGAAGGCAGCUCACUGGACUGCAACUGACACUGAGGCUCGAAAGUGUGGGUAUCAAACAGGAUUAGAUACCCCUGUAGUC
rnacentral:rRNA from 1 species